AUUGAACGCUGGCGGCAGGCCUAACACAUGCAAGUCGAACGAGAGGGGGAGGGGUGAGGAAUGUAGGUGAAACUGCCUGAUGGAGCGGGAUAACUACUGGAUACGGGAGCUAAUACCGCAAAUCAUCGGUUGUGCCCUGAUGGGAGUAGUUAGUAAGUGGGGUAAAGGCUCACCUAGGCGACGAUCCCUAUCUGGUCGGAGAGGAUUACCAUCCACACUGGAACUGAGACACGGUCUAAACUCCUACGGGAGGCAGCAGUGGGGAAUAUUGCACAAUGGGCGCAAGCCGGAUACAGCCAUGCCGCGUGUAUGAAGAAGGCCUUCGGGUUGUAAAGUACUUUCAGCGGGGAGGCGUUACCCGCCCCCGAAGCACCGGCUAACUCCGUGCCAGCAGCCGCGGUAAUAC
rnacentral:rRNA from 1 species